rnacentral:misc_RNA from 1 species
UAAUCCGAGAAUUUCACCUCCAACACCAUCAUACGAAUGCCCCCGGCUGUCCCUCUUAAUCAUUAUCUCAAGUUCCGAAAACCAACAAAAUAGAACCGAGAUCCUAUUCCAUUAUUCCAUGCAACAUUAUUCAGGCGAACGCCUGCUUUGAACACUCUAAUUUUUUCAAGGUAAACGUUCCGGCCACCCGAGACACUCAGUUAAGAGCACCAAGGGAACACCGGAUGGUAGGUCGAGACAAGCAGUAACCACCGCGAGGUGGACCGCAGGCCCAGACCCGAGAUCCAACUACGAGCUUUUUAACUGCAACAACUUUAAUAUACGCUAUUGGAGCUGGAAUUACCGC